CGCGGCUCCGCGCGCAGCGGGCAUGCGCGAGCGUGUAGGCCGGGUCACUGGAGGCGCCGGCGCAAGCGCAGAUGGGGACCGCUCGGCGUCCGCCGCCCCUCCCCCACUCACUGAAGAGCUCCGAGGGAGCACCCUCAAAUAGCAACCUGCCUCCUUGACGCGCCACCUCCGCGACCGAAGGGCUCCCUCCACAGGGGUGCGCUCACGCUGUCAACGCCGUCGCUAUGCUGCGUCACGGCAUCGUCCAAAUGGUCGAAAACGCCUCAGCCUUCAACGCGCAACCACCGGGGAACCGCCACAACCUAGGCUGCCCGGUCACCGCCCCCUCUGCCGUUUCCAGUUCUUUCAUUGGGUCAUCGGCCAAGCCCCGGGCGGGUCCAGACGGGAGCUUCCGGAAGUUGGUUCGCAUUCAUGUCUGUCAAUCAAGCGGUCGCCUUGGCUACUGCGUCCGUCACUUAAUUAGCUGCGUGGAGGGCGUCGAGGACCCCUGAAGGGUGAAAUGGGUGGCUACGUAAGUGCCUGAGUGGAGACGCCAACGGAGAAAAGCCCUCAGACUCUUUAGGAAACUUCUGAAACCAGCAGAAACUUCUCAAACUGCGGGCCCGAGAGCACCGGGCCCCAGCUCUGCGUCCAGACGGCGACGGCCCGGGACGCUGGACUCACUGAGGGGGCACCUCCCUGCCCCCCACCCCCGCCGCCUCCCGGCCGCCCGGCCGCCGGGAGUGGACGUUCCACGAGUCACGUCCCGGUGGCGGCGUGCGCAGCCGCGGACGCGCGGGGUUUUGGCGUCCGUCUUGCUCCGGGCUGGAGAUGGGUACAGGCGCUCCUCCUCUGAACGGCAGAAGGAAACUCAAAGGGACCAGUAGGCUCAGGGUGGAGGCAGAGCUCUAGAUGAUGACGAGGGACAGUUCAAAGUUUUGAAGCCGUGCAGUCGGACCGGGUGCGUGCGAGAGCAGAGGCGUGGCGGCUCCGCGCAGGGGCGGGACCCCAGCCGGGGCUUUCUUUCCGAGAACUUCCCGCGGCUCCCGGGAUCCAGUUCAUCUGUUCUGUUGGCGUUCAGAGCCUUUGUUCGAGACCUUCCCGGCCUCGCUUCAUCGUCCCUGUCCGCGAACUCAGCGCCCGCCGGCCGCGCUCUGGCGCUGCCCGGGUCUGCAGAAACCCCGUCACGCCUCCUGGCCUUUGCCCAAGCGGUUUCUUCCUCCAGCACUGCUAGCCCCCUUCCACCCAUCUCCUUCAUUCUGAUUUUUGGGGGCUCGCCUCACCUUCCUAGCAGCCUCCCCGGAUACUGAAAUGAAGUGCCAUCUCUGGCUUCACGAUCUGGCCUGGACAUCUGCCUUCAGCCUGGCCUCCCUGGCCGUUUGCCCCCAGCCCGUGUGUUUCUGCAUCCUCUCCGCCGCCGCCCCUCCCCCCAACUUGCCAACCACCGAACUGACAGGCCCGGGUUUGGUUCUUGACCUCCUGACAGAGCUGUAUGACCCUGGGCAAGUGACUUGCCCUCUCUGAAUCUCAGUCUUCUGGUCUGUAAAGUGGAAUAACCUUAGUACCCACCUCAUUUGGUAGUUGUGAGAACGAAAUGACGUCAUGAAUGUUAACCAGAGGGGAUUGCACACCUCUAGUCAGGGUCUCAGUUUCCAAACUGAAGAGCCUGUCGGUUCCUGUGGGGAGAUGUGGGUUGUGUCCUUUGCUGGGCAAGGCAAGGCCAGCAGGGCCCGUGGCAUGGGGAAUCCCGGACACCUGGGACUCCAGCAUUGUCCCCAAGCUCCCUGCUGGGCCACCUUCCUUCCCAAGAAGCAGUAGGUGCUGGGGAAUAUGGAGCAGGCACCAAGUCUGUAGCUGCUUUGCCAGCUACUCAGCAACUGCAUGGAUGGAGGAAUGGCUGCCAGGCACACAGUUUAUGUGCACAGAAAUGACUAAGGUCACAAUCCAAGCUGAGCAGCAGUGCAGGGAGCACUCAAGGAAGACAGGUGGAAUUUGCCAGAGGCCACAUGACAUGUGAGAUAGGGCAGACUGCCUGCAGAAGCACAUCUGAGGAUCCAGCUGUCUUCUAUUAAGCCAGUUGCUAAAGAGAUGUGCAAAAGGUAAAACAACGCCACUCUCCUCACUAAAACUUUUUGGGAAAAUAGUUGUUUUUUUUUCUAUAAGUAGUUUGUAUUAAUGUGUAAUUUAAUCUAUGUUCCUUGAAUUAUAAUUGUUUCUCACCUGUUAUUAUAAUUACUAUUACAUACAAUUACUUAUAUGAACGUAUAAUACAUUAUCCUUACUUUUCAAAUAAUAAAUCAAUAUUUUAAGUCGUUUCUCAAUUUCAAUUUUGAAUAGGGUUAAGUAUAUCAAUAGUGUGACCCACAUAAACGAAAGCUCUUUGGGGUCCAAUUUUUA